rnacentral:rRNA from 1 species
UAUGGAGGGUGCAAGCGUUGCUCGGAAUUAUUGGGCGUAAAGGGCAGGUAGGUGGUCUCAUUUGUCUGGGGUGAAAGCCUUGAGCUUAACUCAAGAAGUGCCCCAGAAACGGUGAGACUCGAGUACUGGAGAGGCGAGUGGAAUUCCCGGUGGAGCGGUGAAAUGCGUAGAGAUGGGGGAGAACACUCGUGGCGAAGGCGGCCAGCUAGACCAGUUCUGACACUGAGGCGCGACAGCGUGGGGAGCAAACAGG